rnacentral:rRNA from 1 species
AGUGAACGCUGGCGGUAGGCCUAACACAUGCAAUUCGAACGGCAGCACAGUAAGAGCUUGCUCUUACGGGUUUCUAGUGGCGGACGGGUUUUGAAUACAUCGGAAUCUACUUUUUCGUGGGGGCUAACUUAUGGAAACUUACGCUACUACCGCAUACGACCUUCGGGUUAAAGCAGUGGAUCUUCUGACCUUGCGCGAUUGAAUUAGCCGAUGUCGGAUUAGCUAGUUGGCGGGGUAAAGGCCCGCAAAGUCGACGAUCCGUAGCUAUUCUGAGAGGAUGAAGAGCAAGAGUGGAACUGAGACACAGGCCAGAAUCGUACGGGAGGAAGCAAUGGGGAAUAAAGGAAAAUGGGCGCAAGGCUGAGCCAGCCAUGCCGCGUGGGUGAAGAAGGAGUAAGGGUUGUAAAACCGUUUUGUUGGGAAAGAAAAGCAGGAGGUUAAUAACCAGAUGUUCUGACGGUACACAAAGAAUAAGCACCGGCUAACUUAGUG